UACGGAGGGUGCAAGCGUUAUCCGGAUUCACUGGGUUUAAAGGGUGCGUAGGUGGGCAGGUAAGUCCGUGGUGAAAUCUCUGAGCUUAACUCAGAAACUGCCGUGGAUACUAUUUUGUCUUGAAUAUUGUGGAGGUGAGCGGAAUAUGUCAUGUAGCGGUGAAAUGCUUUAGAUAUGACAUAGAACACCAAUUUGCGAAGGCAGCUCACUACACAAUUAUUGACGCUGAGGCACGAAAGCGUGGGAUCAAACAGG
rnacentral:rRNA from 1 species